rnacentral:rRNA from 1 species
UACGUAGGGGCCUAGCGUUGUCCGGAUUUAUUGGGCGUAAAGAGCUCGUAGGCGGUUUGGUGAGUCGGGUGUGAAAUCUCCACCGCUCAACGUGGAGGGGCCACCCGAUACUGCCAUGACUAGAGUCCGGUAGGGGAGUGUGGAAUUCCCGGUGUAGCGGUGAAAUGCGCAGAGAUCGGGAGGAACACCCGUAGCGAAGGCGGCACUCUGGGCCGGUACUGACGUGAGGAGCGAAAGCGUGGGGAGCAAAACAGG